AACGAACGCUGGCGGCGCGCCUAAUACAUGCAAGUCGAGCGAGAAGGUGUAGCAAUACACUUGUAAAGCGGCGAACGGGUGAGGAAUGCAUGGGUAACCUACCCUCGAGUGGGGAAUAACUAGCCGAAAGGUUAGCUAAUACCGCAUACGUUUCCGGAACUUCGGUUUCGGAAAGAAAGCAAUACCGUGGGUAUUGCGCUCCUGGAUGGGCUCAUGUCCUAUCAGCUUGUUGGUGAGGUAACGGCUCACCAAGGCUUCGACGGGUAGCUGGUCUGAGAGGACGAUCAGCCACACUGGCACUGCGACACGGGCCAGACUCCUACGGGAGGCAGCAGUAAGGAAUAUUGCGCAAUGGACGAAAGUCUGACGCAGCGACGCCGGCGUGGGGGGAUGAAGGUCUUCGGAUUGU
rnacentral:rRNA from 1 species